rnacentral:rRNA from 1 species
UGGGAAUCUUGGACAAUGGGGCAACCCUGAUCCAGCAAUGCCGCGUGUGGGAUGAAGGCCUUCGGGUUGUAAACCACUUUUGGCGGGGGCGAAAUAUCGAGUGCUAAUACCAUUCGGUGAUGACGGUACCCGCAGAAUAAGCACCGGCUAACUACGUGCCAGCAGCCGCGGUAAUACGUAGGGUGCAAGCGUUAAUCGGAAUUACUGGGCGUAAAGCGUGCGCAGGCGGUUAGGUAAGACAGGUGUGAAAUUCCCGGGCUCAACCUGGGAACUGCAUUUGUGACUGCCUGACUAGAGUGCGGCAGAGGGGAGUGGAAUUCCGCGUGUAGCAGUGAAAUGCGUAGAUAUGCGGAGGAACACCGAUGGCGAAGGCAACUCCCUGGGCCUGCACUGACGCUCAUGCACGAAAAGCGUGGGGAGCAAACAGGAUUAGAUACCCUGGUAGUCCACGCCCUAAAACGAUGUCGACUAGUUGUUGGACGGGUUACUGUUCCAGUAACGAAGCUAACGCGUGAAGUCGACCG